rnacentral:misc_RNA from 1 species
GGAGAAUAUAACACAAUUCAUGUAAAUUCAUGCAUAAUUUUUUUUUAUUUCUAAAAGAUAAAUAGUUUUUAGAGAGUAUUUUGUUUGUUCACUUUUCUCACUUGUCUAACUGAAAAUGAUGAAAUGUGGGAGCAUUGGGUUGUGGGAAAUAAUGCGAAAGGUGUUUGAAGGUAUGAGGAUUUUGACAGAAUAGGCUUAUUAGGAGUGGAGGAAAGAACUUUUCCUUUCUGCUAAACUCACAACGGG